UUCCCCCGCGGCCGCAGGGGGCGCUGUGGGGCGGGCGCGGGGAGCACGCGGGGAUGGCGGCCGGGCCCGGGGAAGGGACGGGGGAGAGGCUUUGCUCCCACAGCCCCGGGAGCGAUCGCGGUGUCCCCGCGGGGCUCUGAGGAGCUGGAACGGCAGCACGUCUCGGCAGGCGGGGGCUGCGGGGCUGCGGUGCAGCGAAAGCUCGGGGCGGUGCCGGAGAAGCAGCGAGGGCGGGGCAGCGGCGGCCCCGGCUCUGAGCAGGGCAGGGAGAGGCGGGCUCAGGAUCCUGGGGUUUUUCCCCUGAGGCACCUGAGCAGAUGGUGAAAAGUCCCUUUUUUUUGUGUGAGGAACUGCAGCCCCUCUCCCCUCAGAAUGCUGACAGCACAAGAGAGGUAUGGGCUGCACCCAAACCUGUUUUCCCAGUCGAAAUCUCGCAGUAUCUCUACCCUCCACGAAACCCCAGCAACACAGAUGGGAGAAAAUUCCCCAAGAGAGGGAAAAAACCCAACUGGAGAACUCCUAAAAUCCAACGCCAUUUCGAGCUGUUUGUCCUUUUUUAGCAGAAUUUUUUAUCACAAUAAAGCCGCACUUAAAC